rnacentral:rRNA from 1 species
UGGCGAAAGCUAAUUGCAAAUAUCGACUCAGUCGAAUAAAAUUCUAGGUAGAAUUAUGAUAAUGACAUUGUCUGCCUAUAAGUCUUGACCAAAUUACGUGCCAGCAGUCGCGGUAAUACGUAGAAGACUAGUGUUAUUCAUCUUUAAUAGGUUUAAAGGGUACCUAGACGGUAAAUAAAGCACUAAUUUACUAGAGUUACUUGUGAGGGGGCUAAAAAGUACUAAUGGAGUAGAGAUGAAAUUUUUCGAUACCUUAAUUUGAUGGCACAGGUAUAGGCGAAAGCAUCCCCUUAUGUGAUAACUGACGUUGAAGGACGAAGG